UCUUUAAAUUUAAAAAAUUUGGCGGUAUUUUAGUCUAGUUAGAGGAACCUGUUUUUUAAACGAUAAAACACGCAUUAUCUUACUUAUUUUAGUAAGCUUGUAUACCGUCAUUAUAAGAUAAUUUAAGAGAGAAUAUUAUUAGAAUCAUGUUAUAUGAGUAUAUUAGAUCAAGGUGCAGCUUAUGAGUAAGUAAAAAUGGGUUACAAUAAAUUUUAUUUAACGGAUUUAAUAUUUAAAAUUUUAAUGAAGGAGGAUUUGAUUGUAAAAUAAAAAUUAAUAAGUUUUUUUGAUAGAAGCUCUAAAUUAUGUACAUAUCGCCCGUCGCU
rnacentral:rRNA from 1 species